rnacentral:rRNA from 1 species
UACGGAGGAUGCGAGCGUUAUCCGGAUUUAUUGGGUUUAAAGGGUGCGUAGGCGGGCUUUUAAGUCAGCGGUGAAAGUUUGCGGCUCAACCGUAAAAUUGCCGUUGAAACUGGAGGUCUUGAGUAUAGACGAGGUAGGCGGAAUGUAACGUGUAGCGGUGAAAUGCUUAGAUAUGUUACAGAACUCCGAUUGCGAAGGCAGCUUACCAGGCUAUGACUGACGCUGAGGCACGAAAGCGUGGGUAU